AUUUGUUAUUAGGCUCAAGGCAUCAAUUAAGUAAAAUUGUUGUAAUUGGUAAUUGUGAUAUAUUUCCAUCUUGUUCUGCUCGUAAUAGUUUUAUGCUUAUGGGAGCUCAAGUAAAUUGUACUAUUUUAAUAUCAGAAAGAGAAAUGUACUACACAAGCUUACAUUACUUUCUUAAAAGAUGGAUUUUGUUGGAAAGAAUACACCACAAAUUAUUAUUGGUCAACAGCCAAAACCACGUGUGAACAAGAUGGCGGAAGGUUGAUUACGAUGCGGACAUGGGAAUUUGGUGUGAAGAAAUUGCGACUUGUAGAUAUGAACUUGAGGGCAACUCAAUAUUUUAUGGGAGGCAAUGAUCUGGAUGUGGAAGGGGUAUGGAUGUUGGAAACCGGGUCAACCGGAUAGCUGGAAUAACAACGAAGAUUGUUUGGAGCUCCGAUAUCCAUUUCCGAGAUUCUUCGAUACAAAUUGUCUGAAACCCAAGCCAUGAUAGAACUCUUCUGAAAGAGCAUCAACCCUUUUCAGGUCUUGAUGUUCGGUAAAUUAAUUCAGGUUUGACGUGAUUUUAGAAUUAUUAUCCAGUCGGAUUAAUCAAGUUUAUAUGUCAGAUUUAGGCACUCCACAAACAAAACAGAGUGAGACCUGGAGACAUUAAAGACUCUAUUUGUGAUUGUAUCGAUAUGAGAAUUCCCUCUAAACUAUAAUAUCGUGAAAUUUGGAUCUCUAUUAGGAAUGUCGGUUCGGAAAUUGUUCAAUUCCCUUCAUAUAUCUUAUUUUGGUCU